ensembl:lncRNA
UGGCACUGCAUACUUAUGCAGAUGGCGCCGUUGAUGGCUGCCACGGUGCUUCGGUGCGCUUCGUUUUUUGUUGUUUCUGCUGCGAUUCCCAGAGCUCUUUCACCAGAGAUGAGCUCUUGAACAGGCGCUGUAGGCGAGGAAAACGGGCCGGCUCGCUGGUGAGACUCCGCAAGCGUGGUUCUCGCACUCCGCUGCCAGGCGUCUUUCUCUCCAACGUGCGCUCACUGUACAACAAACUGGACGAAAUUCAGCUGCUGGUGAGGAGAGAGAGUUUUCUACAUCCUCCGUUUUGUGCUUCACGGAGACGUGGCUCUGCGGAUCGAUACCGACUUGUGCGCUCCAGCUGGUGGGCUUCCAGCUGCUCCGAGCGGACCGUGAAACGGAGCUCUCCGGCAAGACAAAGGGUGGAGGAAUCUGCUUCUACUUCAACAACAGCUGGUGCAACAACGUAACGGUGAUCCUACAACACUGUUCUCCUGAUCUGGAAACCAUUGUAUUCCCCCCGUGAGUUCGCUUCAUUCAUCCUGGUCGGUGUUUACAUGCCGCCGCCGGGCAACGUGCACGAGGCACAGCGGACACUCGCCGACCAGAUACGGCGUGUGGAGCGGACCAACCCGGACUCUUUAGUUAUUGUCCUCGGGGACUUUAACAAAGGUAAUCUCACCCAUGAACUUCCUAAAUACAGACAGUUUAUUAAAUGCCCCACCAGAGAGGAGAACACGCUGGAUCACUGUUACACCACAGUAAGCAGGGGUUAUCACGCCGUCCCUCGUGCUGCACUGGGACACUCUGACCACGUCAUGGUCCAUCUGAUUCCUGCAUACAGGCAGAAACUAAAGCUCUGCAAACCUGUGGUGAGGGAAUUUAAGAAGUGGACCAGUGAGGCGCUGAAGGAUCUUCGGGCGUGCUUUGACUGCACAGACUGGGAUGUUUUCAGGACGGCUACUGACAGUCUGGAUGAGUUCACAGAGGCUGUAACUUCCUACAUCGGCUUCUGUGAGGACAGCUGUGUACCAUCAUGCACCAGGGCGGUGAGAGAUGCUAAACGACUGUACUCUGAGAAACUCCAACAACAGUUCUCAGCAAGUGACUCUGCUUCGGUUUGGAGAGGCCUCAAACACCUCACAAACUACAAGCCAAAAACCCCCCACUCCAUGAAUGACCUCCGCCUGGCAGACGAACUGAAUGAGUUCUACUGCAGAUUCGAAAGACAAUGUCCUGAUCCCAUCCUCCACAGCUCCACCAACCUGCUGCAGUCCCCCAACCCUCCCUCCCCCAGCCGAUCAGGUGCUCACGCCUCUUCAUCUAUCAGCAUGGUUACAUGGAUUCGAAUAACUGGCUUAGUCGGACUGAAAUUGAAUAAUCCAUUCAUGUAAACACCUUUGUCCGACUAUGUGCGAUCCGAUUAACACCCCUGGAUAACUCGAUCCGAUCCAGUUGAUAGUUCGACUAUCGCGGGAUGUAACGGUGAAUCGGAUAAGGAACUGGACUUUGCGUCUCCCAGAUCGUGACCCGGAAGUCGAAAGAGACUGCUGGGAGCCUGGCCGGCAGAAAACAAACAAACAACGCUAUGGACAACACAAGAGUCCCUAGUAGAGCACAACGGCGUAGAUUCGGGUGUUCGGUUGCCAACUACAAUGGGUAAGUUAAUUUCAGUUGCAUCACACUAAAACAAGUGCUAGAUACCAGAUGUUAGCUGAUGCUGUGAGAUGUCUUAGCAGUGCUAAUAUGUGUUGAAACAUGUGUACCUUCCCAUGACUUGCGAGGAAUUAAAUCGACGAUGAAAACAAUGUACAAUCAUAAAACGUAAGGCUAACCUGGGUCCCACUUGAUAACCGUAACUUUCGAAGCUAACAUGGGUGCCACUUGCUAGCUAGCCCUUAGUCUUUGAGAAACGUGUAGACCUUCCCACUAACUUGCAAGGAAUUCAAUUUAGAAUGAAAGCUAGUUACAAAUGUAAUAAAGUUUACAUUAACUGUACUUUCUAUAUUUGUUUUGGCACUAUAGUUGAGUUUUUAUGUUUCUUUGUCUAUUUUUAUGUGAAUGUAAUUUCUUCGUGCACGUUAUUACGCACGUAUUUGCUGUAAAGCACUUUGAGCUGCAUUCUUUUGCAUGAAAGGUGCUAUAUAAAUAACGUUUUAUUAUUAUUUGUGCUGUACCAUCUUAUAGAUACUACAAUGGACCCGGAAGAGACGCUGCUCGGAGGCUCAUCUGGAACCUCCUCACCUAGGUCAACUCCACCACCUUCUACUCCACUGCGUGCUACAAUUACCGAUGAUCUACCUGGAACAAGGACCCAGCAAACAAGGCGAAUGAGAGACGUCGAUGUGCUGGUGAACCAGAUGCAAGUCAUGACUCAUCAAUGGACGGAGGACAUGGCAAGAAGUGAGGCCCGGGAGGAACGGUUGAUCGCCAGCAUCCUCCGCACUGACAGUAUGGUUGAGAAGCUGAUGCAGAGAAUGGAUAACAUUCAACCUCAACCAAACACAUUCUCACCACCACCACAACAUCAACCACCGCAAGAUGCGUAUUAUGGUUAUGGAUGCCUUACUUAUUUGCACUACCGCCUGAAAAGCAUCGUACCGUUCAUACAGCACAAUUUCUACACUCUACCUCAGUGUGUGUGUGUGUGUGUGUGUGU